GAUGAACGCUGGCGGCGUGCUUAACACAUGCAAGUCGAACGGAGUGCCUUUGAAAGAGGAUUCGUCCAAUUGAUAAGGUUACUUAGUGGCGGACGGGUGAGUAACGCGUGAGGAACCUGCCUCAAAGAGGGGGACAACAGUUGGAAACGACUGCUAAUACCGCAUAAGCCCACGACCCGGCAUCGGGUUGAGGGAAAAGGAGUGAUCCGCUUUGAGAUGGCCUCGCGUCCGAUUAGCUAGUUGGUGAGGUAACGGCCCACCAAGGCGACGAUCGGUAGCCGGACUGAGAGGUUGAACGGUCACAUUGGGACUGAGACACGGCCCAG
rnacentral:rRNA from 1 species